rnacentral:rRNA from 1 species
ACCCGCUGAACUUAAGCAUAUCACUAAGCGGAGGAAAAGAAAUUAACUAAGAUUGCCCCAGUAACAGCGAGUGAAGCGGCAAGAGCCCACAUUGGAAAUCUUCACACUUAGUGUGACGAAUUGUAAUCUUGAGAUUGUGUGCUCACCGGGAAGUGACGCAGAAGUGCCUUAGAAUGGGCCGCCAGAGAGGGUGAUAGCCCCGUAUGUGGUGUCACGUCCUAACGAGUGCGCUUUCGAAGAGUCGGGUUGUUUUGUAUUGCAGCCCCAAGUGGGAGAUAAACUUCUUCUAAGGCUAAAUAUUUAUGGGAAACCGAUAGCGAACAAGUACUGUGAAGGAAAGAUGAAAAGAACUUUGAAAAGAGAGUCAAAAGACUUGAAAUCGUUGAGAAGGAAGCGGUAGAAAUUUAUUCUUCGGCAGUGAGCGAUGGCUGUUGCCGAACCAUCGGCUGUGUGUAGGACUUUCAUAAGCCUGCUGCGGUCGCUUGGGGAAGCGGUUGUUCUGUUCGCUGUCGUCAGGCAAAAUGGGGUCGCUUAUUUGCAGAGGCUGCGCUUGCUUGGGAGUUUUCGGACUUCAGCUGGUGUGUGCUGGUGGAUAAGCGGCCUGAGGGUGCUUCGUGCGAUUUUGCCAAAAUGGUUUUUACCGACCCGUCUUGAAACACGGACCAAGGAGUCUAACAUAUAUGCGAGUGUGCUGGUGGAGAAACCAACACGCGUAAUGAAAGUGAACGAUGCCAAGCGCAAGCAGCAGCAUCGACCGACCAUGAUUCUUUGAUGAAAGGUUUGAGUAAGAGCAUAUCUGUUAGGACCCGAAAGAUGGUGAACUAUGCCUGAGUAGGGUGAAGCCAGGGGAAACUCUGGUGGAGGCUCGUAGCGGUACUGACGUGCAAAUCGUUCGUCGAACUUGGGUAUAGGGGCGAAAGACUAAUCGAACCAUCUAGUAGCUGGUUCCCUCCGAAGUUUCCCUCAGGAUAGCUGGGACAAUUGCGCAGUUUUAUUAGGUAAAGCGAAUGAUUAGAGGCCUCGGGGGUAGAAUAUCCUCGACCUAUUCUCAAACUUUAAAUUGGUAAGAACCUUGGCCUUUCUUAAUUGAGGCACAGGGGCUCAAUGCGUGUCCUUAGUGGGCCAUUUUUGGUAAGCAGAACUGGCGAUGAGGGUUGCUCCUAACGUUGAGUUAAGGUGCCUAACUGCACGCUCAUCAGAUCCUACAAAGGGUGUUGGUUCAUUAAGACAGCAGGACGGUGGCCAUGGAAGUCGGAAUCCGCUAAGGAGUGUGUAACAACUCACCUGCCGAAUGAACUAGCCCCGAAAAUUGAUGGCGCUAAAGCGUGCGACCGAUACUCAACCAUUGUGGCGAGAGAUAGGCUGCAAUGAGUAGGAGGGCGUGAGCGUUGUUGCGAAGCCUAUGGAGUGAUCCUGGGUUGAACAGCGUUUAGUGCAGAUCUUGGUGGUAGUAGCAAUUAUUCAAAUGCGAACUUUGAAGGCCGAAGUGGAGAAGGUUUCCGUGAGAACAGCAAUUGGUCACGGGUUACUCGAUCCUAAGCCACAGGGAAACUUCUUGUAUGGCGAGCUUAUCGUCUUUGGCGAAAGGGAAUGAGGUUAAUAUUCCUCAAGCUGGAUGUGGAUACUGUACGGUAACGUAAAUGAACUCAGAAACGCCGGCAUGAGCCUCUGGAAGAGUUAUCUUUUCUUUUUAACAGGCCAGUGACCUUGAAUCGGAUUACCCGGAGAUAAGGUUACGUGUCUGGAAGAGCACUCUGCCUUUUGGGGUGUCAGGUGCGCUCGUGACGGUCCAUGAAAAUCUGAGUGAGAGAUUUAUUUCACACCAGGUCGUACCCAUAACCGCAUCAGGUCU